rnacentral:rRNA from 1 species
UACAGAGGUCCCAAGCGUUGUUCGGAUUCACUGGGCGUAAAGGGUGCGUAGGUGGUGAGAUAAGUCGGAUGUGAAAUCUCCAAGCUCAACUUGGAAACUGCAUUGGAAACUAUCUUGCUAGAGGGUUUGAGGGGGGACUGGAAUACUUGGUGUAGCAGUGAAAUGCGUAGAUAUCAAGUGGAACACCAGUGGCAAAGGCGAGUCCCUGGAAAAUACCUGACACUGAGGCACGAAAGCUAGGGGAGCAAACAGG